UGCAACUUAGUUUAAUUAGAACAGUCAACUUGCACUUGAUAAGUGAGAUACCUCAGUAGCGG
rnacentral:tRNA from 1 species